rnacentral:rRNA from 1 species
UACGGUGGGGGCAAGCGUUGUUCGGAAUUACUGGGCGUAAAGGGCUCGUAGGUGGCCAAUUAAGUCAGACGUGAAAUCCCCAGGCUCAACCUGGGAACUGCGUCUGAUACUGGCGGGCUUGAAUCCGGGAGAGGGAUGCGGAAUUCCAGGUGUAGCGGUGAAAUGCGUAGAUAUCUGGAGGAACACCGGUGGCGAAGGCGGCGUUCUGGACUGUAUCUGACACUGAGGAACGAAAGCCAGGGGAGCAAACGGG